rnacentral:rRNA from 1 species
CCUACGGGGGGCAGCAGUGAGGAAUAUUGGUCAAUGGACGAGAGUCUGAACCAGCCAAGUAGCGUGAAGGAUGACUGCCCUAUGGGUUGUAAACUUCUUUUAUAUGGGAAUAAAAUGUUCCACGUGUGGGAUUUUGUAUGUACCAUAUGAAUAAGGAUCGGCUAACUCCGUGCCAGCAGCCGCGGUAAUACGGAGGAUCCGAGCGUUAUCCGGAUUUAUUGGGUUUAAAGGGAGCGUAGGUGGAUUGUUAAGUCAUUUGUGAAAGUUUGCGGCUCAACCGUAAAAUUGCAGUUGAAACUGGCAGGCUUGAGUACAGUAGAGGUGGGCGGAAUUCGUGGUGUAGCGGUGAAAUGCUUAGAUAUCACGAAGAACUCCGAUGGCGAAGGCAGCUCACUGGACUGCAACUGACACUGAGGCUCGAAAGUGUGGGUAUCAAACAGGAUUAGAUACCCUAGUAGUC